UGCAAACAUAGUUUACCUUAUGUGCAAAUACCUAUUGCGUUAUGUGCAAAUACCUAUUAAGUUAUGUAUAACAACUACAUCAUUAUGUGCAAACACUAUUACGUUAUGUGCAAAUACCGCUUACAUUAUGUGCAAACACCGAUUACGCUAUGUGCAAAUGCCUAUUAUAUUAUGUCCAAACAUCUAUUACGUUAGGUGCAAACACCUAUUACGUUAUGUCCAAACACCAAUAUUACGUUAUGUGCAAACACCUAUUACGUUCUGGUAAACGCUUUUUUGACACAGAUUAAAACAAAACGC
rnacentral:lncRNA from 1 species